NCAUCGCCUUAAGUCUCAUAGCCGCAGUGGCUGCCUCACACUUAAUCUGCAUGAGGCAGCCACUGCGGCUAUGAGACUUAAGGCGAUGGGAGAAU
rnacentral:pre_miRNA from 1 species